AGCGAACGCUGGCGGCAGGCCUAACACAUGCAAGUCGAACGAACCUUUCGGGGUUAGUGGCGGACGGGUGAGUAACACGUGGGAACGUGCCUUUAGGUUCGGAAUAACUCAGGGAAACUUGUGCUAAUACCGAAUGUGCCCUUCGGGGGAAAGAUUAAUCGCCUUUAGAGCGGCCCGCGUCUGAUUAGCUAGUUGGUUGAGGUAAUGGCUCACCAAGGCGACGAUCAGUAGCUGGUCUGAGAGGAUGAUCAGCCACAUUGGGACUGAGACACGGCCCAAACUCCUACGGGAGGCAGCAGUGGGGAAUCUUGCGCAAUGGGCGAAAGCCUGACGCAGCCAUGCCGAAUGAAUGAUGAAGGUCUUAGGAUUGUAAAAUUCUUUCACCGGGGACGAUAAUGACGGUACCCGGAGAAGAAGCCCCGGCUAACUUCGUG
rnacentral:rRNA from 1 species